AUGUUAGUUGCCUCUUAUAAAUAGCAUGGGUUGCUGAGGACUUAUUCUAAACCAGAUCUUCACGGGUCUCAUUUCAUAAGACAAGCAUGGGAUGUUAGGGACGUAUUAUUUUGCAAAAAACCCACUAGCUUGCAGAAACUUACAUUCCAAGAGUUAAGUAGGUGGCUCUCUACUUCCUACUUCUUUAUAAGGUAAAAACUGCAGACAAGUACUGUGAAUCGUGAAAUUAAUGCAUCUCCAAAAGAAUGCGACCACU